rnacentral:tRNA from 1 species
GCCCGGGUGGUGAAAUCGGUAGACACAAGGGACUUUAAAUCCCUCGGCGUUCGCGCUGUGCGGGUUCAAGUCCCGCCCCGGGCA